UCUGCUCUAUGGAAAUAUCAAUAUUAUAAGAAUUUAAAUCGAUUCGAAUACUUAUUUAACACGGAUCGUUUUUGAUGUUUUUUUUUCUCUGAAGAUUAUUAGCGAAGUCUAUAAAGUAUUGUGGAUUCUUACAGUCAACUUUUCUAUACUCUUGAUUAAUGUCUGUCCAAUAAUAUAUAAAAAAAAAAUAGCAGAAAAAUUGUUUCAAUUUCGUGUUAUAUUUUUUCCAAAUUUAUCCAUAAAAUCUUAAAAUUUUUGUGUGAGUGGAAUAAUCAAUCGUUCAAAAGAAUUUUGGAAUAUAUCAAGAACGUUGAUAUUACUGAAUACAUGUUGAAACACGAUGAUAGUUAUAUUAAAAGAAUUUUCAUCGAUUCAAGUUCAACGGUUUUGGUUUUUACACUGAACUGAUUUUUUUUUUCUAUCAUAACGUUAUAAAGUGAUGGUGCCUUGGAGUUUUAUCCAACAAUGAAUCCAAAUUAUUUUAAAAGAAGUUUUAUACCACUAAUACUUUUGUAUAUGAGUCAUAAUUGCUAUUUGUGCUUUGAAAUAACUCAUGAAGAUAUCAGAAGUGCAAUUCUCAGUCUCGCUCAUAUUAUGCGAGAAAAUACAGAAAAAUUAGAAAGGCAUGAAUUCCGUGAUCGUCAGGUAGAUGAACAAUUACGAAAAGCAUUAAUGGUUAUUAGUAGGAGAAUACAACUGAUUGAUAAUUUCGAAUCUCAAUUUAAUGAUGUUAACAAAAAAAUGGAUAAAGUUGAGCAGUUCUUCAUAAAGGAAAGAACCGGCAGAACGCCGCGUAAACAAAGCUGCUUAUCACGUAAUUUACUGGAGAGAUCAAUCAAGCGAACGUGCUCGAAGUCGGUGAUCUCAAUGCGCGAUAUAUACUUCAUACUGACGAAGCAGUUACGUACAAUAAUGUCAGAAUUUUUCUGAAUGACAAGACGUCAGAAGAAUUGUCGACGCCGAUGAUGAACCUCAGGUUACAAACACACAUAAUAUGGCAGGCAGAAUGGGAUGCGUCCGAGACAGGUCGCAAAACAUACUAAUUCUUCCCAAACAUAGCAGAUAGACUUGAUAAUAAUUGGAUACGCCUAAACAACCUAAUGACAUCAAUAUUCACAGGACAUGGCAUAUUUCGUGCACAUCGUGCACUAUAUGCUACCGAAACGGACCCAACCUGCCCUAAUUGCAAUAGGGGAGACGACGACACAGUGGAGCACUUCCUGUUGCACUGUCCCGCAUAUAGAGACAAACGUAAUGAUCUCAUAAUGGUCAUACGUUCGGAAACGAACGUUGACCUCAGCCUAACGUGGACUGAAAUAGUGCAAAAAUUCGUCCAAACAAAGGACACAUAUAAGGCACUCGAAAAAUUUGUCAAGGCGUACGCAAAAGAGAAAUUGUUCGAGGAAAUUCGGAGAAUCCGCAAGGGGGUGAGAGAAAAAAGGAAGCUGUCGAUAAUAUAAUGGAGCCCCCAUCACACCAUAAACAACUGGGGCCGCCAACCAAACCGAAUAAAACUAGUACUACAGGAGACCGAAAUCCGAGCCCGGGGAGCGUGACAUCCGUCCCCAAUAAGAUGUCAGUCAAAGGCAUUUUUACAAUCUUUUAAAUUUAAAUCUUUAAAUGUAUAAUCUUACUGAUUGUCAAUCAAAUUCUAU